AUAAGUCUGCUGUGUGCGUGAUGUGGAAAAUUCGUAAUCCACAAUAUUUAUACGGGAGCGGGCCGUUCGCAAAAAUAGGCAAGGUCUGUAAACUUUUACGGAAAGUCCGAAUAUUUUUUGCUUCGCCGCACCCACCUGCGAGAAGCGGGUUAAUACUUUUUCACACACGGCAUAAGCGGAUUUAUU
rnacentral:other from 1 species